rnacentral:lncRNA from 1 species
UGCCACAUAUUGAGUAUCAGUAUCUCACUAAAUGCUUCGAUAGCCACCUAGGAUGACAAACUAUUUUUCCCAUUUUACAGAUGAAGAAAGAGGCUUGGGAAAUAAUUCGCUGUCCAAGAUCAACAUCUAGGAAAUAGUAGAACUGGAUUUUGAAUCAAGUUAACUCCAAGGCUUGGUACUACCUUGCAGGGAUGUCACACCAAUAUGGCGGUGAAGACAUGGAGUUUUUCCACUGCCAUAUUUUGGUAUCCAUUAGCUGGCUUUGUGGAUUCCGAGUGGCAUCUGCGUCAGGAGUGGCGGCAGCACCUGAUCCAAGCUUCCUGGUCCAGGAGUGGUGCCCGAUCCCUGUGAUAGAGAGGUGUCCAGCAUCCGGAUGGGGUCAUGAGCAGGGAAGAUAGUUGUGGAGCUCGUCAGUUGUGGGGCUCAUCUUUGCUUUAGGUAAGUAUUUGGCGUGAACAUCAGGCUAUCCCCUGCUUGGUGAGAACUUUGUGAAGGCACAACUUUGCAAUCAUCCAGCAGACUUUGAAUUACAAACUUUUUUUUUUCGAAUUGCAGCACUUACGCUGUUGGGAGGCACAGGAAAGGUUUCUUGGUGUAUUGAAUCCUAAUGGCAACUUUGAAUCUUAGGUACCCCCAGUUUUAUCAUAUUAAUACAUUUUAUUGGAAUUUUGCAUCAGGUAGUCAAUCAACAAAGAUGUGUGAAAUGUUCCCUACAUGCUAGGAUUUUCUGAGUCUCACUUGCUGGUUAAGGGAAACCCUCAGCUGAAGUCCUCAGUCCCUGACUUUGGAAAAGACUGUGAUUUAAUUGUGAGAACCCUGGGUUGCC